UCCGGCUUGACGCCGGCAGUCCCCCGAGAGUCCUCAGCAUUACCUGUUAGUAACACGGGGCAAGGGUUGCGCUCGUUGCGGGACUUAACCCAACAUCUCACGACACGAGCUGACGACAGCCAUGCAGCACCUGUGUUCCAGUUCCCUUUCGGGCACAGCCGCCUUUCAGCAGCCUUCCGGACAUGUCAAGGGUAGGUAAGGUUUUUCGCGUUGCAUCGAAUUAAUCCACAUAAUCCACCGCUUGUGCGGGUCCCCGUCAAUUCCUUUGAGUUUAAGCCUUGCGGCCGUACUCCCCAGGCGGUCAACUUCACGCGUUAGCUUCGUUACCAAGGAAUUACCUCCCCGACAACCAGUUGACAUCGUUUAGGGCGUGGACUAC
rnacentral:misc_RNA from 1 species